rnacentral:rRNA from 1 species
CCUACGGGUGGCAGCAGUGGGGAAUAUUGGGCAAUGGGCGCAAGCCUGACCCAGCAACGCCGCGUGAAGGAAGAAGGCCCUCGGGUUGUAAACUUCUUUUAUCAGGGACGAAACAAAUGACGGUACCUGAUGAAUAAGCCACGGCUAACUACGUGCCAGCAGCCGCGGUAAUACGUAGGUGGCAAGCGGUAUCCGGGUUUACUGGGUGGAAAGGGGGUGUAGGCGGGAGAGAAAGUCAGACGUGAAAUUCCAGGGGUCAACCAUGGAACUGCGUUUGAAACAGUUCUUCGUGAGUGAUGGAGAGGUAGGCGGAAUUCCGUGUGGAGCGGUGAAAGGCGUAGAUAGACGGAGGAACACGAGUGGCGAAGGCGGCCUGCUGGACAUUAACUGACGCUGAGGCGCGAAAGCGUGGGGAGCAAACAGGAUUAGAUACCCCUGUAGUC